rnacentral:piRNA from 1 species
UGGGACUAAAGGCAUGUGUCUCCAUGGU